rnacentral:rRNA from 1 species
GUCCUUACUGUAAACUAUGUAUACUUGAUGUAACCGGACUCAACCCUGGUUGUGUCGUAGCUAACGCGAUAAGUAUACCGCCUGGGGGAGUACGCUCGCAAGGGUGAAACUCAAAAGAAUUGACGGGGACCCGCACAAGCAGUGGAGCAUGUGGUUUAAUUCGAUGCAACGCGAAGAACCUUACCCAGACUUGACAUACAGUAGACAGCGCUAGAAAUAGCGAUUUCCUUCGGGACUGCUGAACAGGUGCUGCAUGGCUGUCGU